AAGUCGUAACAAGGUUUCCGUAGGUGAACCUGCGGAAGGAUCAUUAACCAUUGGAUACCUUCGGGUAUAUCCCAUCCCGUGUCUACAUACUCUUGUUGCUUUGGCAGGCUGUGGUCACCCACUGUGGGCUAUGCCUGCAUGCGCCUGCCAGAGGACCAAACUCUGAAUACUAGUGAUGUCUGAGUACUAUAUAAUAGUUAAAA
rnacentral:misc_RNA from 1 species